rnacentral:rRNA from 1 species
GAUCGGGAGGAAUACCAGUGGCGAAGGCGGCUUUCUGGACUGACACUGACACUGAGGUGCGAAAGCGUGGGUAGCAAACAGGAUUAGAUACCCUGGUAGCCCACGCCGUAAACGAUGUCGACCAGCCGUUGGGUGCCUAGCGCACUUUGUGGCGAAGUUAACGCGAUAAGUCGACCGCCUGGGGAGUACGGCCGCAAGGUUAAAACUCAAAUGAAUUGACGGGGGCCCGCACAAGCGGUGGAGCAUGUGGUUUAAUUCGAUGCAACGCGAAGAACCUUACCUACUCUUGACAUCCUGCGAACUUGUGAGAGAUCACUUGGUGCCUUCGGGAGCGCAGAGACAGGUGCUGCAUGGCUGUCGUCAGCUCGUGUUGUGAAAUGUUGGGUUAAGUCCCGUAACGAGCGCAACCCUUGUCCUUAUUUGCCAGCGGGUAAUGCCGGGAACUCUAAGGAGACUGCCGGUGACAAACCGGAGGAAGGUGGGGACGACGUCAAGUCAUCAUGGCCCUUACGAGUAGGGCUACACACGUGCUACAAUGGCCGGUACAAAGGGUUGCGAGCUCGCGAGAGUCAGCUAAUCCCGAAAAGCCGGUCUCAGUCCGGAUCGGAGUCUGCAACUCGACUCCGUGAAGUCGGAAUCGCUAGUAAUCGUGAAUCAGAAUGUCACGGUGAAUACGUUCCCGGGCCUUGCACACACCGCCCGU